rnacentral:rRNA from 1 species
UCGAGAAUUUUUCACAAUGGGCGAAAGCCUGAUGGAGCGACGCCGCGUGGGGGAUGAAUGGCUUCGGCCCGUAAACCCCUGUCAUUCGGGAUCAAUGCGACUGACUUAAUAAGUCAAUCGUUGAUAGUACCGGUAGAGGAAGGGACGGCUAACUCUGUGCCAGCAGCCGCGGUAAUACAGAGGUCCCAAGCGUUGUGCGGAUUUACUGGGCGUAAAGGGUGCGUAGGCGGUCGGGCCAGUCUGAUGUGAAAGCUCCGGGCUCAACUCGGGAAGCGCAUCGGAUACUGCUCGGCUAGAGGAUUGGAGGGGGGACUGGAAUUCUCGGUGUAGCAGUGAAAUGCGUAGAUAUCGGGAGGAACACCAGUGGCGAAGGCGAGUCCCUAGACAAUUCCUGACGCUGAGGCACGAAAGCUAGGGGAGCAAACA